rnacentral:rRNA from 1 species
GACGAACGCUGGCGGCGUGCCUAAUACAUGCAAGUAGAACGCUGAAGAGAGGAGCUUGCUCUUCUUGGAAGAGUUGCGAACGGGUGAGUAACGCGUAGGUAACCUGCCUUGUAGCGGGGGAUAACUAUUGGAAACGAUAGCUAAUACCGCAUAACAAUGGGUGACCCAUGUCAUUUAUUUGAAAGGGGCAACUGCUCCACUACAAGAUGGACCUGCGUUGUAUUAGCUAGUAGGUGAGGUAACGGCUCACCUAGGCGACGAUACAUAGCCGACCUGAGAGGGUGAUCGGCCACACUGGGACUGAGACACGGCCCAGACUCCUACGGGAGGCAGCAGUAGGGAAUCUUCGGCAAUGGGGGCAACCCUGACCGAGCAACGCCGCGUGAGUGAAGAAGGUUUUCGGAUCGUAAAGCUCUGUUGUAAGUCAAGAACGAGUGUGAGAGUGGAAAGUUCACACUGUGACGGUAGCUUACCAGAAAGGGACGGCUAACUACGUGCCAGCAGCCGCGGUAAUACGUAGGUCCCGAGCGUUGUCCGGAUUUAUUGGGCGUAAAGCGAGCGCAGGCGGUUUGAUAAGUCUGAAGUUAAAGGCUGUGGCUCAACCAUAGUUCGCUUUGGAAACUGUCAAACUUGAGUGCAGAAGGGGAGAGUGGAAUUCCAUGUGUAGCGGUGAAAUGCGUAGAUAUAUGGAGGAACACCGGUGGCGAAAGCGGCUCUCUGGUCUGUAACUGACGCUGAGGCUCGAAAGCGUGGGGAGCGAACAGG